CCCUUAGAUGUUCUGGGCGGCACGCGCGCUACACUGACGCACGCAACAGGUGCCUGCUCCGAGAGGACUGGGUAAUCAUUUGAGUGUGCGUCGUGAUGGGGAUAGAAUAUUGUAAUUAUUACUCUUCAACGAGGAAUUCCUAGUAAGCGCAAGUCAGCAGCUUGCGCUGAUUACGUCCCUGCCCUUUGUACACACCGCCCGUCGCUCCUACCGAUGGGUGAUCCGGUGAAUGAUUCGGACUUCAGCGGCUCCUCUGGGGUGCGCCGGAGAAAGUUUUGUGAACCUUAUCACUUGGAGGAAGGAGAAGUCGUAACA
rnacentral:rRNA from 1 species